rnacentral:rRNA from 1 species
GAUGAACGCUGGCGGCGUGCCUAAUACAUGCAAGUCGAGCGAACAGACGAGGAGCUUGCUCCUCUGACGUUAGCGGCGGACGGGUGAGUAACACGUGGAUAACCUACCUAUAAGACUGGUAUAACUUCGGGAAACCGGAGCUAAUACCGGAUAAUAUAUUGAACCGCAUGGUUCAAUAGUGAAAGACGGUUUUGCUGUCACUUAUAGAUGGAUCCGCGCCGCAUUAGCUAGUUGGUAAGGUAACGGCUUACCAAGGCAACGAUGCGUAGACGACCUGAGAGGGUGAUAGGCCACCCUGGAACUGAGACACGGACAAGACUCCUACGGGAGGCAGCAGUAGGGAAUCUUCCGCAAUGGGCGAAAGCAUGACGGAGCAACGCCGAGUGAGUGAUGAAGGUCUUCGGAUCGUAAAACUCUGUUAUUAGGGAAGAACAAAUGUGUAAGUAACUAUGCACGUCUUGACGGUACCUAAUCAGAAAGCCACGGCUAACUACGUG